AGCUCACAGUCGACUACACGACGUUUUUCAGUUUUCGCUAAUUACGUACGCGACUUGAUUAUAGUCUGAAGGCGUCAGGCGCACACGUGACCAAUACGACUUCGGUUUUAUGAAUCUUGCUGUGAGGAAGUCUAACGUUACACGCUGGAAACAGUGGCCAAAAGACAAGAAACUGCUGAAGGUUUCAGAGACCCGACUGUGAUUUAUUUCUCAUUAGAGUGAUAUUAAAGUCACGUGGUAAAAUCUUGAACGUUUGACUGUUUUAUCAUUUGAGGUAACAAUGUAUCAGUGCCUCUCUGUGGUACUGUGUCUCACAAUAUGUGCUAUACCUCGACUUUCAGCAUACUGUAACAUCAACUAAAGAAGGAAAGGCACGUGUCACGAAAAAUCCGUGUCAACGAAUGACAACCGAGGACGUUAUAAAGUCAGUUUCUCGACAGCUGAAGCAUUACGUGCAGGUCCAGAGACGAGAGGAAGGGUUCGAGAGUAGAGUGACAUGGGAAAAAGAUCUGCCACCUAUCAAAACGGGGAUACAAGACCGACUAACUUCGUUCAAACUUCACGAAAGAAGUGUCCAACACUUGCUUGGACAUGGGCAUGCGCAGACAUUGCUGGGAUAUCUCGACCAGAAAGCUGUUCUUUCGCCACGAGAACAACAGAUCAAAAGGGCUUUGGUCCACUAUCUGUCAGAGAAAGAAGCAUGGGCCUACCCUCGCCACGGGACAUCAAAAACCUCCGAUUUCUACCCCCCUCACCGAAGUUCUGUCGUCCGCCUACAGCAACGAGGAUUUCAGCCAGUGUCCAGGAGUCAAGAACGAGUAGGUAGUGUGCCACGAGGAGAGGCAGAACGCCUGGUAACUAUGGCAACCAAACUUCUUGUCGCUACGGAGUGUAUCCUGAAUAAGGAAGGUGUGAACGACAGGACUGAGAUUGCUGAAAGUUUGCCUCAUCUAGAAGAGAAAUCACGACUCCAAUCUUUUACUUCCAAGGAAAUGCCAGCGGAUAAAGGUGGAGACGGUAUGCGAUAUUCUCCACUAGAUGGCACUCAGAGCAGAGCUGUAAGCAGACUAAGCUUCAGAACGUGGCCAGGAAGUCGCAGUACGAACUGUCCAGCUUUACCACUCACUAAAGCGUCAUCUGGAGGCAGUAAAAAGCGUCUACCACGAAUUAAAACAGCGCCACCAAUCAGAAACCGGAGAAAAGCGAAGUUCCUUCGUUAUCGACCUCACACUGUAAAGGAUACGUGCGUACAAACAGAAAUAGAGAUAGCAGACUUUGAAAACGCUAUACAUACUUUUGUCGACGGAAGCGGCUCCAAGCGACGGAACUCGGAGUCAUAUGACAAGAUCUCGUGCUCUUCUUCCGAAUGCAGUUAUGACUCGACAAAUUUUGAAACUUCAUUCACCAAAGGGAACAAUAGGAAAACUGAACGAAGAUUAUCCGCACAUUCUGAUAAAGAAUCCAGAAUCUUCUCUAGAGCGCCACCUGGUGACGUUAUUAGAAAACACAACGAAGUUGGGAGAAAAAGCAAAUCCUUGACAAAACUCAAUAGGAAAGAGCUUCAUUCCGAAAUGACAAACAAAGAAAGAGUUGAUGAUCGUCUUAAACAUGAAAGUGGAUUUUGGAAUGGCGAUGGCGCUUCGCUAUUAGACCAUCAAUCGUCUAACAGUCCAGUUAAAACAAAAGACGAUACCGCAAAGAAACAAAAUAAACUGAAAAAGAAAAAGCAUAUUACUUGCAAUCUGGAAACACUGUGUUUAGAAAAUGAGUUGAAACAAAAAAAUACUUUUAACAGUAUUUCAGAGCAUGAAUUAACUGCACGUGAACCAGAGUUAGCCCUAACUAGCCCCGAACUUGAGAAAACAACCUGUAAAAUAAUUUCUCCCACAGAUAUUGCAUUUGGUGAACUUGCAAUUUACCCAAAUGUGAAUAAAGAGAGUGGCCAUACGCCAUCCUCUGAACAAUGUGAAAAUGGUACCAUUUCCAAGAACAACAUUGCCAAUGAAAAUGCAUCUGAAUCUCACAAAGAAGACAAGGUAAAUGGAAGAUUGACCACGACGUCGUCUCCAUCUGCUUCGGACGAAGGAACAACGACAGAUGCCAAUGGAAAGUCAACCACAAUGUCAUCUCCAUCUGCUUUGGACCAAGGAACAACGACAGAUGCCAAUGGAAAGUCAACCACGAUGUUGUCUCCAUCUGCUUUGGACCAAGGAACAACGACAGAUGCCAAUGGAAAGUCAACCACGAUGUUGUCUCCAUCUGUUUUGGACCAAGGAACAAUGACAGAUGGCAAUGGAAAGUCAACCACGAUGUCGUCUCUAUCUGCUUCAGACCAAGGAACAACGACAGAUACCAAUGGAAAGUCGACCACGAUGUCAUCUCCAUCUGCUUUGGACCAAGGAACAACGACAGAGGCUAAUGAUUCAUCAACAACAUGUAGUUGUACAGGAUGCAAUGAAACAAGCUCUUUGACUUGCACGUGCACAGAGAGUGCUGCUAGUAGUGUUAGCGAUGCAACUAACUCAGAAGCAAUAUCUUGCAGUAGUUGUGAUUCUUACUGUAGCUGUUGCUCAUCGACUACAGAGGAUGAAUCCACAACAGAGGAAUGUGAAGACGAAGAAUGCAUGCAGUGUCUUCAAGAAAACCCCAACCGGGCACUGACACCGGAAGUGGUGGUCGUGAGUCAUCAGGACGAUUCUACAGAGCCAAUUACCGACACAGACGCUGGAAAUGAGGUUUCACAGCAAGACGAAGAUUUUCAGACAGAGGAUAUUAUAGCACAAGAAGAACCAGAAAGAUCAUCAGAUAGUUUAUCCGAGGAACCAGAAAGAACAUCUAUCAGUUUAUCCAAAGUUUCGGUUCCUCAUAUUAACAAGCAAGGGAAUGCAAAUCCCAGUGACCAGGUUCAACAAAUCCUCUUCUGGACAUCGGUGCGGUAUUUGAUCAGCUCACCCAAGAAGAGUUUGUGUCGACUUUAAGCAUACACGAAGCGGCCAGAAACGGAGAUCUGCAUGCUGUGAGACUCCUGCUUCGAAACGACUGGAAACGCAUGGAGACUGUCGACGAGAGAGGUUGGACACCUAUUCACCUAGCUGCAGCCAAUGGUCAUGUCGAGAUUGUGAAA
rnacentral:misc_RNA from 1 species